CCUACGGGAGGCAGCAGUGGGGGAUAUUGCACAAUGGGGGGAACCCUGAUGCAGCGACGCCGCGUGGGUGAAGAAGCGCCUCGGCGCGUAAAGCCCUGUCAGCAGGGAAGAAAAUGACGGGACCUGAAGAAGAAGCCCCGGCUAACUACGUGCCAGCAGCCGCGGUAAUACGUAGGGGGCAAGCGUUAUCCGGAUUUACUGGGUGGAAAGGGGGCGCAGACGGCGAUGCAAGCCAGGAGUGAAAGCCCGGGGCCCAACCCCGGGACUGCUCUUGGAACUGCGUGGCUGGAGUGCAGGAGGGGAAGGCGGAAUGCCUGGUGUAGGGGUGAAAUGCGUAGAUAUCAGGAGGAACACCGGUGGCGAAGGCGGCCUGCUGGACUGCAACUGACGUUGAGGCCCGAAAGCGUGGGGAGCAAACAGGAUUAGAUACCCCAGUAGUC
rnacentral:rRNA from 1 species